rnacentral:rRNA from 1 species
UACGUAGGGGGGCAAGCGUUGUCCGGAUUUAUUGGGCGUAAAGAGCGUGUAGGCGGUUUGGUAGGUCCGCUGUGAAAACUCGAGGCUCAACCUCGAGACGCCGGUGGAAACCAUCAGGCUAGAGUCCGGAAGAGGAGAGUGGAAUUCCUGGUGUAGCGGUGGAAUGCGCAGAUAUCAGGAGGAACACCAAUGGCGAAGGCAGAUCUCUGGGCCGUAACUGACGCUGAGGAGCGAAAGCAUGGGGGAGCGAACAGG